UAUAUCACCUGUGUAAGUGGACCGUUUUAAUACCUGCCCAAACGAGUGCAGACCAGAAACCCGCCUCUGAGCGACUGAACCAGCCUGCCAUUGGAAACUCAGCGCUCGUUGACAUCUCUGCAGCACAGACUGCUGCUGCCAUGGAUGAUUGACUCAUUGCCCCAGUGAAUCACCCUGCACCGGUCUGCUCUGGUUUGCCCUUGUCGUCCACCGUAGUCGUGAAGCCUGUAGAAGACCCCAUCCACAAGUUCUGAUCUGAGACAUCAUACCCAGGGGUUCCAGGUUAUUUGUGACAGAGCUUUAGACCAUGUGCGGGAGGAACCAGAAAUGGAGACAGGAGGAAAGGUUGCUGUUCUCCCCAGUGACUGCAGCCUUAAUUGGGAUGACGGUAAGGGUGUCGGCCCCUGUGUGUUGGAUGGAGAGCUUCAGGCUUGAGUGAACAGAUGUCUCUGGGAAGGAAAGGUGACAGACGUUUCUGCAGUUACUCAUCCCUAAAUAGGCCUGGGAGGACUCGAGUCUGAAUGAAAGAUGACCCAGGUGUGCAACAGGAAGAGAUGGAGAUGAGGAUAAAAAGAGAAUAUGUUUCAGAGGCAGUCACGGUGUAGGUGUAUCCAUAACCCGAGUGCUCUCCGGAGACAUGACGAAAUCGUGGAACCUUUGGUGUAACAACUGGCACGUACUCACAAACAUGCAAAGGACCGAAUCCGUCAAGGUCUAUUGCUUCUUUUGAAAGUCCAGUUUUAUAAUGGAAUCUGCUGAUAUGUGACAUGAACGCAGGGAUGUGGAUGAAUGAACAGAGAUAAACAGGUGUCCAAAUGUCUCAAAGUGGCCUAAAAAAACUCCUGAUGACCUUGGGAAGAUAAUACAGGAACGGAACCAUUCAAGUCGGCAUCAAACAGAAGUUGUGAUCGUCUUUUCUUCCCGUAUAGCUGAGUAAAACGGGUGUUACUUGAUUUUGUUCAUUGGGGAUUGAUUGAAUGGUUGUGGUGUCCUAUGUCACGUCAUGUGAGUGACAGGUUUUCCCGUCCUCGCGCGAGUCAAGAGAUGUCGUUGCUAGAGGGAUUCAAAGUUAUUUUGAUUAAAGAUUAUAAGGGCACGUGAAUUAAAAUAAAUGAUGUGCACGGAUAAAUCAUUUGUAAUAAAUACUGCAAUAUUCCAUAAAAAAAUAAGAAUGGUCACUUUUGAUUUCAUGGGCUCUUAAAG